rnacentral:rRNA from 1 species
UGGGGAAUCUUGGACAAUGGGCGCAAGCCUGAUCCAGCCAUGCCGCGUGAGUGACGAAGGUCUUCGGAUUGUAAAGCUCUUUUGGCGGGGACGAUAAUGACGGUACCCGCAGAAUAAGCCCCGGCUAACUUCGUGCCAGCAGCCGCGGUAAUACGAAGGGGGCUAGCGUUGUUCGGAAUUACUGGGCGUAAAGCGCACGUAGGCGGAUCUAUAAGUCAGGGGUGAAAUCCCGGGGCUCAACCUCGGAACUGCCUUUGAUACUGUAGAUCUCGAGUCCGGAAGAGGUGAGUGGAAUUCCUAGUGUAGAGGUGAAAUUCGUAGAUAUUAGGAAGAACACCAGUGGCGAAGGCGGCUCACUGGUCCGGUACUGACGCUGAGGUGCGAAAGCGUGGGGAGCAAACAGGAUUAGAUACCCACGUAUCCCUGAGCGGGCUGGCA